UACGGGGGGGGUAAGCGUUGUUCGGAAUUACUGGGCGUAAAGGGCUCGUAGGCGGCCAACUAAGUCAUACGUGAAAUCCCUCAGCUUAACUGGGGAACUGCGUGUGAUACUGGAUGGCUUGGAUUUGGGAGAGGGAUGCGGAAUUCCAGGUGUAGCGGUGAAAUGCGUAGAUAUCAGGAGGAAUACCGGUGGUGUAGACGGCUCUCUGGACCGCAACUGACGCUGAAACACGAAAGCGUGGGUAGCAAACAGG
rnacentral:rRNA from 1 species